rnacentral:rRNA from 1 species
UACGAAGGGGGCUAGCGUUGCUCGGAAUUAUUGGGCGUAAAGAGCUCGUAGGCGGUGUGUCACGUCGGCCGUGAAAACCUGCAGCUUAACUGUGGGCUUGCGGUCGAUACGGGCAUCACUGGAGUUCGGCAGGGGAGACUGGAAUUCCUGGUGUAGCGGUGAAAUGCGCAGAUAUCAGGAGGAACACCGAUGGCGAAGGCAGCACUCUGGGACGGUACUGACGCUGAGACGCGAAAGCGUGGGGAGCAAACAGG